UCCAGACAAUCUAAACUGUUGGGUCGCCGU
rnacentral:piRNA from 1 species